GAGUAGCAUGGGGCACGUGGAAUCCCAUGUGAAUCAGCAAGGACCACCUUGCAAGGCUAAAUACUCCUGGGUGAUCGAUAGCGAAGUAGUACCGUGAAGGAAGGGUGAAAAGAACCCCCGUCGGGGAGUGAAAUAGAACAUGAAACCAUAAACUCCCAAGCAUUGGGAGGAGCCCAGGGCUCUAACCGCGUGCCUGUUGAAGAAUGAGCCGGCGACUCAUAGGCAGUGGCUUGGUUA
rnacentral:ncRNA from 1 species